rnacentral:rRNA from 1 species
GAUGAACGCUAGCGGCAGGCUUAAUACAUGCAAGUCGAGGGGCAGCACGAAUAGCAAUAUUUGGUGGCGACCGGCGCACGGGUGCGUAACACGUAUACAACCUACCUAUAACAGGGGGAUAGCCUUUCGAAAGAGAGAUUAAUACCCCGUAAUAAAUUGAGUGGCAUCACUUGAUUUUGAAAGCUACGGCGGUUAUAGAUGGGUAUGCGUCUGAUUAGCUAGUUGGUGAGGUAACGGCUCACCAAGGCGACGAUCAGUAGGGGAUCUGAGAGGACUAACCCCCANACUGGUACUGAGACACGGACCAGACUCCUACGGGAGGCAGCAGUAAGG